AAUAAGUUUCCGAACGUGUCCGCUCCUGUCCCACACAAAGAAAACUAUCCACAAUCGCUACUGAACGACGGUUGCAGCUUGGCGGAUUUGAUCGUGGAGGCGGAGUCCUAGGAGGAAGUUCACCAUCUCCACCCUCACCCACCUCAUCGGCGGCUCGAAGUUCGGAGGCGCGGCCAGGCUCUGCGCUGCCUCUUCCCCUACCUCCAGUACCUCGGCAUCUGCAGCGUCUCCGUGGAGGAACCACGACGAGGUCGUCCGCAGGAUCCACGUUCUAGAGACCCUCAACAUCCAAGGGACCAGAAAGUAGGUACUUCUCCAUCUCGUCAGCCACAGCCUCCAGUCUCCAAGACAACUCAAUGCAGGAAGAUGGGGCUUGGAUGGGGACGAGUUGUGUAUGCACAAGAAGUUGCACAUGGCAGCACAUGGCAGUAAGACGCGGCUGGUGCUAACUCACGCUAGGUUGUAUUCUAAUGAUCGGUUCUUAAUUGAUUGUUUCAGACGGAUAUCCCUGCCUCGAUUUGUUAGAACUUACUGCAGUUUGUAACCCAAUUUGUUUAUUCGCAUCUAAUAGUUAAGGUAACAAAUAUGAUUUAUGCCUCAAAUAGCAGUUUAAUUCGUUGAUUGAAUCCCAACAUUAUUGCCAUGAAUGGACUUAGAAACGAACAAUGUCCAUGGUGUACUGUGUCACGAGGAGAUGCAUAGUUCAAUAAGGUUAUCUACUGCUGGAGCAAGGCUCACAUCUGUAUAUGUUCCAAGGCUUAUGGAGAGCGUCAACAAUGUGUGCGCCCCAUGGCUUGAGUGCCUCCUGUCAGAAUAUAUUACCGUCGGAUCCUGCACCAGUGUAAGAUUGGUAGUGUCCACAUGCUAAGAUCAUUCAGAUGCCUGGAGCCAGGAAAAUACGAACUAGGGAUCUGUGACUUUCAUCAUGGCAGAUAUUAGGACAAGGUGCGCUUUGAGAGUUGAGGUCCACAAUGAUGUCAAGAUGGUGCCGGCCUCCCUCAAAUGUUUUCCCAAUGUUGAGGCACUGCACGCCAUACUACUUCCGCUGCAUGAAUUCUCAAGAGAAACCUGAAGUUCUGGGAAGAGGUUGGUCCCAUCUUAAGUGUGUUGUUGUGCGCCAAGGUGUGAUGACUGAUGACAUACAUACUGUGAGUAGCAGGCGGAGCAAGAUGAUGUUGCCUUCCUCAUGUACAUUAUUCAGAAUGCGCUGGUGAUGGAGUAUAUGUUGGUUCAUAUGUUCAAUAUCAGAUUACUUUCAUUGUCCAUAUAUGGGAUGUCCUCCACCAUGCACAAUAUGAGUAAUGCAAAAUGGCUCAACAAAUUUGGUUAUGCCAUCGGUGAGACUCAUGCACCCUGGACUUGUCGAUGAGGAGCAAACUUUAGGCUAUCUUCGGUUAUGUAGUUGUAAGCUUGGUGACUCCACAAAACCAAAGCCACAACCUGGCAAUCAUGACAAUUGAGAUCUUCGACACAUGCAGUCGUGGUUGUGGAGUAUGCACUGCGGGCACCGGUCGUGCUAAUAUGGAGAAUUAGCCUGGUCUGGUUGCGCCAUUAUUCUGGUCCAGCAUGCUGAGGCUCUCUUGCACAUGCUAAAUCAUGGCUUCCAUGAGGACUAGGAUUGUCGAUGAUUUUUUUUUUACAGUUGAGGGAAUGCAACUGCCUACUAGCAUUGUUUCAUGUUGUCUCUGAAGGUUGCACCACAAGUCACUCCAUUAUUUUAUGGCGAUGGAUCCAAUUAUUAUUUGUUUCCUGUUAUUGUUUUGUAUAACCUAUUAUUUUGUCCAA